rnacentral:rRNA from 1 species
GGUAAAUAAAAGCACAAGCUCUAAAUUCUAAGGACUUGGCGGUGCUUGAGAACCCCCUAGAGGAGCCUGUCCUAUAACCGACAAUACCCGUUAAACCUCGCCUUCUUAACUUAGCCUAUAUAUCGCCGUCGUCAGCUUACCCUUUGAGGGCUCUAAAGUAUGCAAAACUGGUUUUGCCCCGGACGUCAGGUCAUGAUGUAGCGAAUAAGAAGAGAAGAGAUGGGCUACACUUCCUUCAAAGGAUAAACAGAUAAUGUUUUGAAACAAACAAUUUUAAGUCGGAUUUAGUAGUAAGUAGAAAAUAGAGUGUUCU